rnacentral:lncRNA from 1 species
CUCUCUUCCACAAGCACAACCCUUCUUCAGACGUCCAUAUACACUUCUCCCAAAAUCCUGUGCUUAACACAUUGUUACUGAGCACACAGGCGUGCUGGGGCAAGCGACGCCUGGGAAUAUGAAGCGAACGCCACACACUAGAACGCGCCCUGGGAGCUGGCCUCCGGUGGGGGACGCAGGUGUUGAAGACAUAACCGCAUGAC